AUUGAACGCUGGCGGCAUGCCUUACACAUGCAAGUCGAACGGCAGCACGGGAGCAAUCCUGGUGGCGAGUGGCGAACGGGUGAGUAAAGUAUCGGAACGUGCCCAGUCGUGGGGGAUAACGUAGCGAAAGUUACGCUAAUACCGCAUACGAUCUAUGGAUGAAAGCGGGGGAUCGCAAGACCUCGCGCGAUUGGAGCGGCCGAUAUCAGAUUAGGUAGUUGGUGGGGUAAAGGCUCACCAAGCCGACGAGCUGUAGCUGGUCUGAGAGGACGACCAGCCACACUGGGACUGAGACACGGCCCAGACUCCUAGGGGGGUCAGCAGUGGGGAAUUUUGGACAAUGGGCGAAAGCCUGAUCCAGCCAUGCCGCGUGCAGGAUGAAGGCCUUCGGGUUGUAAACUGCUUUUGUACGGAACGAAAAGGUUUGGCCUAAUAAGCUGAGCUCAUGACGGUACCGUAAGAAUAAGCACCGGCUAACUACGUGCCAGCAGCCGCCGUAA
rnacentral:rRNA from 1 species